UGGUGUACAGGUGGUGCAUGGUUGUCGUCAGCUCGUGUCGUGAGAUGUUGGGUUAAGUCCCGCAACGAGCGCAACCCUUGUCUUAUGUUGCCAGCAUUUGGUUGGGGACUCAUGAGAGACUGCCGGGGUUAACUCGGAGGAAGGUGGGGAUGACGUCAAAUCAUCAUGCCCCUUAUGUCCAGGGCUUCACACAUGCUACAAUGGUCGGUACAACGCGCAGCGACACUGUGAGGUGGAGCGAAUCGCUGAAAGCCGGUCUUAGUUCGGAUUGGGGUCUGCAACUCGACCCCAUGAAGUCGGAGUCGCUAGUAAUCGCAGAUCAGCAACGCUGCGGUGAAUACGUUCCCGGGCCUUGUACACACCGCCCGUCACGUCAUGAAAGUUGGUAACACCCGAAGCCAGUGGCCUAAACUUGUUAGGGAGCUGUCGAAGGUGGGAUCGGCGAUUGGGACGAAGUCGUAACAAGGUACCCGUACCGGAAGGUGCGGGUGGAUCACCUCCUUUCUAAGGAG
rnacentral:rRNA from 1 species